CCGGAUGGAACGCCGAAUCCUGCCGCCGUCCGGGAAUCCGAAACCCACUCACGUACGGCAGGAGCGGGGGACCCAGGUAAGUCGCCGAUCCGUGACCGGAACGGCUUGGGGUGAAGUCGCACGACCGUGCGGCCAGGCAUCUCCCGUCUGAACCCGACAGCUCACCUCGUAGGCGCCGGAGAGGAAAUUC
rfam:Streptomyces sp. MMG1522 P406contig51.1, whole genome shotgun sequence.